UCCCCUAAUAAGAAAUCACCGCGACCGGAGAAUUCAAAUCCGGCGACAAAAGAGGUCUUCUAGUCACGACACUCAAUUUCCGGCAUCUAUUUUCGGCGGCGUCGGCCACAUCUGGGACGUAGUGAGUGAGCUAAUUCAGUCCCUAGCACUAAGGCUGGAGUCAGCGAGCUGCUGGGCGGGAGAAAUUGGAUGCUCAAGGAAAAUGUUUCAAUCGUUUCGAAUUAUUUCACGCACUCCAUUGUUGAAUUAUUGUCCAUUCUUCCGCCCAAUUUACGAAUCAGCAGAUUCUAUUGGAACCACCUUGGUUGGAAACACUAGCCUCAUUCCAAUAAUCGACUCUUUGCACAAAGGUCACAACUGGACAACCCUUUCAGAACACUUUAGCUCACUGAAAUUGACAAACCCUGGUGUUCAACAAAUACUCUUGGAACUCAAAGAACCGAUUAAUUCGAGGAAGGCUCUGAGCUUUUUCCAUUGGUCAUCGAAGAAAAUGCAUUUCCAACACGGGCGUUUCAAUUACUGCAUCAUGAUCCAUAUCUUGGCGAAAGCAGGGCUCGUGAAGGAUGCCAAGGCAUUGCUGAAUUCUGUGUUGACCUUGGAUUUUGACGAAGGUAAAAAAUCGCGUGCACUGGCUGGUCUUGAUUUGUUGCUUGAGAGUUACAGGGCUGUUGAUUCAGUUCCAUUUGUGUUUGACUUGUUUAUACAAUCUUGUGCUCGAUUAAGAUUGACUGAUGACAUUUGUGAUGCUGCAAAACGGUUGUCUGAUGAUGGUUUUACAUUGAGUGUUAUUAGUUUCAAUGCUAUUCUAGAUUUGGUGCAAAAAUCAGAGAAGGUUCAUUUGGCUUGGAGUGUGUUUGAGGACAUGAUAUUGUCUAGAGUAAGUCCUAAUGAAAUGACGAUGAGAAUCAUGGUUAAUGCCUUGUGCAGGGAAGGAAAAUUAGUGUGGUUUCUUGGUAUCGUUGAUAAUAUGCAUGGGAAAAGGUGUUCGAUUCCUCAGGUGAUUGUGCAUAUGUUCCUGGUUCAUAAGAUGAUAGAGGAGGAUAGAGUUAAAGAUGGAUUGGUUUUAUUGAAUCGGAUGUUGCGGAAACACACGGUACCUGAUACUAUUGCAUACUCAUUGGUUGUAUUGGCGAGGGUGAAAUUGGGGGAUUUGGAUGAUGCUAAAGAUGUAUAUAAUGAAAUGCUCAAUAGGGGUUUUAAAGAGAAUGCUUUUGUGUGUAGUUUGUUUGUCGGGGCAUAUAGUGAUGAGGGGAGGAUUGAUGAGGCGAUUUGGAUGUUGGAAGAGAUGGAAAAGUCAGGUCUCAAACUUUCGGAUGAGGCUUUCAGUAAGCUGAUCAAAGGUUGUUCUUCCAAUGGACGGAUGAAGGAAAGCUUGGCAUUUUGUAAUAAAAUGAUGAUGAUGGGGCAUCUUCCUAGUUGUUCGGCUGUAAAUGAGAUGUUGUGGAAUCUUUGUGAAAAUGGUGAGACGAAACAAGCAGAUGAGAUGCUGACGGCUUUGUUAGAUAAAGGGUUUCAACCUAAUGGGGAUAUAUACUCUGUUCUUAUUCAUGGAUAUGGGAAAGAUGGCAAUGCUAAGGCAAUUAUGAAACUCUUAUUUGAGAUGAAGUACCGUUCGAUCGCUCCUAAUAUGUUGAGUUUCAACUUGUUGAUUGAUAAUCUAUGCAAGUCUGGAAGAUCGAAAGAGGUAGAGAAAUGUUUGGAAAUAAUCAACUCUCCCACUCUCAUUCCUGGUUGAUUGAUUCCUUGCUGAUUUUUACAUAGAAAGGUUUGAAGCAUUGUUAUUGAAUUCUGAUGUUCUGACGCUUGUUGUUGAAAGGAUCGAUGAGCAGUGCCAAACGAUGUGAAAUCUGUGGCACCAGUAAAUUGUGGUGGUGAUUACCAGCAUACAGGUAGAAGUCAUUAUUCUGUCGACAAUGUUGUUCUGUUGUUGUUGGUUCUUACAGGCAUGGGAGCCGUCGUAGUUAAGCUUACUAUACCAAGGAUGCCGAUGGCUCUUCAGCUGAGGGGAAAUCCUCUAGAUGGCGAGUUUCUACUAGUUAUGGAUCACACGAGAAGCAGGUGUGGGUCCAAAAGUCCAGUUCUGGUUCAUAGU